AUCCACUCCCUCUCGCCGCCGCCUGCGACCUCGCCGCCGCGCCCGCCUCACCUCACCUCGCCGGAGUUCCCCCACGAUCGGGGGGCAUCCGGGGUGGGCGAUGGCGCCGCCCGGGACGAGCAGGAGGAGGGGGCGGCGUGGUCGUCGGGCGGCGGGCCGGUGCGCGGGGCUGCCCCUCGACGCGCUGUUCGAGAUCAUGCUGCGGCUGCCGGCGAGGGACGUCUGCCGCCUCCGCGCCGUCUGCCGGUCGUGGCGCGCCGUGGCCUCCGACCGGGCCUUCGUCGACGCGCACGCCUCCCGCCACCCGGGCCCGUACGUCGCCGCGUGCUUCUCCGAUGAAGCCGACGGCGGCGACGGCGACGAGUCCUGCGGCGGCGUCGACAUCGUCGACCUGUCCUCCGGCGACAUCGUCAAGACUAUUUACACCGAAGUCAGUGGAUCCAGAGUGCAGCGCACGCGCCUCGACCUCGUCUGCCUCGUUGAAGGGCCUAGCCCCUUGGAUGUCACCGUGCUGGAUCCGGUCACCGGUGCUACCUACAUCCCGGCAAAGAGUAUCUCUGCGGAUAAUAAGGAUUUGCUGAGUUCAGGCCGUCUCAUAAUGGAAUCCUGUGCUUUUGGGAAGGUCCCCUCUACAGGAGAGUACAAGGUGGUCCGUCUCCUUGGUUCUGGUAAUCCAUGUGAGCUAUACGAGUGCGAGAUCAUGACCGUGAACAGUGCUGGCGCUUUGCAAUGGAGGGCGAUACAAGGACCUCAGUUGCCUGUUUGUUCAAGUAACAAUAUGAGAAGUGUGGUCAUCAAUGGGGUUGCGUAUUUCCUGUUAGAUUAUUCGAGGCUCUAUUGCUCAAAUGAUGGCUUGCUUAUUCGACCAGGUAACAUAGUUCCAUUUGACCUUGAGACGGAGGAAUGGAUGGGUAUUCUAAACGGACCGAAACCAGUCGCCAGGGGACGGGAUAUGAUUGUUAUCUCCUCAACCUUGGAAAUUAUGGAGCCCCUCUCGCUAGCCGACUUGAAUGGGUCCUUAGUGAUGGUGCAUGCUGUAUACGGUUCCCCCAUGGACCUGUGGUUUCUGUCAGAUCUUGAGCAAGGACUCUGGGUUAAGAAGUACAGCAUAGAUUUCGAAUACUAUAAUAACAAUGCUUAUCCUUUGCUGCUGUUAGACGAUGAGAAGAUUGUCUUCCUACUGCGGGGAACUAAUGUUCUACAAAGUUAUGAUCUAAAGGAUGACACAUACACUGAUAUAUUGGUGGUGCCAGAUUUCAGAUCCGUUGGCAUUUAUACUGGAGAUCUAUUGAGCUUGGAGGGUGGUCUGAACUGAUUAUCUUGUCGUUUCCGUCGUUUCGAAGGUUCGCGAGUGCGCCGGAAGUAUUCAAGAAGAUUAAUUGAAGACCGAUUAUUGUAAGGUAGACCAUUGCGCCUCUUGUAUUCUCCAAAGACAAAGAUGUUGCUGCUUUCGCUUGCUGAGGCUACUUGAGCUACUUCGUCUCUUAAUUUGCUCCCCAGAUGGAGCAAAUGAUGCUAUCUCAUUCAGUUACAAUAAUGAAAUACUCCUAUAUCAGAUACCUGUUUGUAUUCCGACGGUACAAGCUGAUGUUAUCAGCCUGGUUUACCGUCUUUUUAAAAUGUCGACAAACCUGUGGUGGUGUGAUCUGUAUGCAUGGUACUUGUCCUUUAAGACUAUGGGAAAACCGUGUAUCACUGUCAGUUUAGCUUGGGCACAUGAUUACCAAUGGGAAUUUUCUGAACAAUUUCAUCCU